CUACGGGCUGCUGCAGUGGGGAAUAUUGCACAAUGGGCGCAAGCCUGAUGCAGCCAUGCCGCGUGUAUGAAGAAGGCCUUCGGGUUGUAAAGUACUUUCAGCGGGGAGGAAGGGAGUAAAGUUAAUACCUUUGCUCAUUGACGUUACCCGCAGAAGAAGCACCGGCGAACUCCGUGCCAGCAGCCGCGGUAAUACGGAGGGUGCAAGCGUUAAUCGGAAUUACUGGGCGUAAAGCGCACGCAGGCGGGUUGUUAAGUCAGAUGUGAAGUCCCCGGGCUCAACCUGGGAACUGCAUCUGAUACUGGCAAGCUUGAGUCUCGUAGAGGGGGGUAGAAUUCCAGGUGUAGCGGUGAAAUGCGUAGAGAUCUGGAGGAAUACCGGUGGCGAAGGCGGCCCCCUGGACGAAGACUGACGCUCAGGUGCGAAAGCGUGGGGAGCAAACAGGAUUAGAUACCCUCGUAGUC
rnacentral:rRNA from 1 species